GGGAAUUUUCCGCAAUGGGCGCAAGCCUGACGGAGCAACGCCGCGUGAGGGAGGAAGGCCUGUGGGUUGUAAACCUCUUUUCUCAAGGAAGAACACAAUGACGGUACUUGAGGAAUCAGCAUCGGCUAACUCCGUGCCAGCAGCCGCGGUAAGACGGAGGAUGCAAGCGUUAUCCGGAAUUAUUGGGCGUAAAGCGUCCGUAGGUGGUUAUAAAAGUCUGUUGUUAAAGCCCACAGCUCAACUGUGGANNGGCAGUGGAAACUGUAUGACUUGAGUGUGGUNGNNNUAGAGGGAAUUCCUAGUGUAGCGGNGAAAUGCGUAGAUAUUAGGAAGAACACCAGUGGCGAAGGCGCUCUACUGGGCCAUAACUGACACUGAUGGACGAAAGCUAGGGGAGCGAAAGGGAUUAGAUACCCCUGUAGUC
rnacentral:rRNA from 1 species